GAUCAUGGCUCAGGACGAACGCUGGCGGCGUGCCUAACACAUGCAAGUCGAACGGGGUGAGAUCCUUCGGGGUUCACUUAGUGGCGAACGGGUGAGUAACGCGUGAGAAACCUGCCUUUCAGUGGGGGGACAACAGUUGGAAACGACUGCUAAUACCGCAUAACGUAUUUUAGGGGCAUCCCUGAAAUACCAAAAGCUUUAUGUGCUGAAAGAUGGUCUCGCGUCUGAUUAGCUAGAUGGCGGGGUAACGGCCCACCAUGGCGACGAUCAGUAGCCGGUCUGAGAGGAUGAACGGCCACAUUGGGACUGAGAUACGGCCCAGACUCCUACGGGAGGCAGCAGUGGGGAAUAUUGGGCAAUGGGGGAAACCCUGACCCAGCAACGCCGCGUGAAGGAAGAAGGCCUUCGGGUUGUAAACUUCUUUUAGUAGGGACGAAUACGUGACGGUACCUACAGAAAAAGCAACGGCUAACUACGUG
rnacentral:rRNA from 1 species